UCUCGGGCCAGCCACCGCCGCGCCAGCUAGAAGCGCCCCAGCCCGGCAAGCUGGCUCACCCGCUGGCCACCCAGCACAGCCCGCUGGCCCCUCUCCUGCAGCCCAUCUGGCGGAGCGGCGGCGGCGGCGGCGGCAGGAGAAUGGCAUCAGAACUGGCAAUGAGCAACUCCGACCUGCCCACCAGUCCCCUGGCCAUGGAAUAUGUUAAUGACUUCGAUCUGAUGAAGUUUGAAGUGAAAAAGGAGCCGGUGGAGACCGACCGCAUCAUCAGCCAGUGCGGCCGUCUCAUCGCCGGGGGCUCGCUGUCCUCCACCCCCAUGAGCACGCCCUGCAGCUCGGUGCCCCCUUCCCCCAGCUUCUCGGCGCCCAGCCCGGGCUCGGGCAGCGAGCAGAAGGCGCACCUGGAAGACUACUACUGGAUGACCGGCUACCCGCAGCAGCUGAACCCCGAGGCGCUGGGCUUCAGCCCCGAGGACGCGGUCGAGGCGCUCAUCAGCAACAGUCACCAGCUCCAGGGCGGCUUCGAUGGCUACGCGCGCGGGGCGCAGCAGCUGGCCGCGGCGGCCGGGGCCGGCGCCGGCGCCUCCCUGGGCGGCAGCGGCGAGGAGAUGGGCCCCGCCGCCGCCGUGGUGUCCGCCGUGAUCGCCGCGGCGGCGGCGCAGAGCGGCGCGGGCCCGCACUACCAUCAUCACCACCACCACGCCGCAGCUCACCACCACCACCCGACGGCCGGUGCGCCCGGAGCCUCGGCAGGCGGCGGCGGCGGCGGAGGCGCGUCCUCCUCGGCGGGCGGCGCGGGCGGCGGGGGCCCGGCCAGCGCCGGGGGCGGCGGCGGAGGCGGCGGCGGAGGUGGCGGCGGCGGGGGUGCGGCGGGGGCGGGGGGCGCCCUGCACCCGCACCACGCGGCGGGAGGCCUGCACUUCGACGACCGCUUCUCCGAUGAGCAGCUGGUGACCAUGUCGGUGCGCGAGCUGAACCGGCAGCUGCGCGGGGUCAGCAAGGAGGAGGUGAUCCGGCUGAAGCAGAAGAGGCGGACCCUGAAAAACCGCGGCUAUGCCCAGUCCUGCCGCUUCAAGAGGGUGCAGCAGAGACACGUCCUGGAGUCCGAGAAGAACCAGCUGCUGCAGCAGGUCGACCACCUCAAGCAGGAGAUCUCCAGGCUGGUGCGAGAGAGGGACGCCUACAAGGAGAAAUACGAGAAGUUGGUGAGCAGCGGCUUCCGAGAAAACGGCUCGAGCAGCGACAACCCGUCCUCUCCCGAGUUUUUCAUAACUGAGCCCACUCGCAAGUUGGAGCCAUCAGUGGGAUACGCCACAUUUUGGAAGCCCCAGCAAUGUACACCCAGUGUGUUCAUAAGAUGAAGUUUAUGUAUCCAAGGGAAUCUUCUACAUCAGUGAUGUGAGAGAUGCAGUUGCCCGAAGUCAAACAGACCUUGAUGUUGAAGGUUGUUGGCGUGGAGAAACUAAGGUGCCGGCUUCCUGCUGCUCAUCUUGGAAUUCUUUUAAAGAGGCAGAAAGGCAUCUUGUGUCUAGUUCUCAGGUUGCAACAGUGGCAAGAAAGCAUCUCUUGGUGCACCAGGCUAAACCCAAGGUAGAAACCAGAAGACACUUUCUCCCAUACAUAACUGCUAUGAUGGGGAAGAAAAAAUUCUGGUGUCUAAUUUUUGCUGACAUGUUUGGUAUAGGCCAGCUUCCAUGGGAACUCAAUAUAGCAAUAAUGCUAAGAAGACAAAACACCUCUCAUCCCCAUCCCUGAAGGAAGAAUUGUCCUGAAGUGAUAAGUGAGUCUGGAUGACUCCCCAGAGCUCCCUGUUUUCCAGGUGGAGCAAGACUUGGAACACAAGAUGUUCCAUCUCCAACAUGUACUCGUUUAUCCAUCCUAUGUUUCAAGAUGUGAGUUACAACAAGAGCCCUGUAGAGGACACCAUCCACAGCCACCUGGCCCUGGCCACCUUGCUCUGUGGAACUUCCAGCUUUCAGCAGAGCUUCAGCCUCAGAGGCAAACCGUCCUUCCACUCAUCUGUGGCAAGAAUGGAUUUUGGCAGCCAGACUUUACUGAAAAACCAACCCUUUUCCUCCUACCCCCAAAUUUGAAAACAUAUUGUCUUCUUUACUGUAGUUCAUUUUGCUUUCCAGGGUGAUUAAUGAAUUAAAGAUGUAGUGUAUUUAUUCUUUUGCCUGAUUACCAUUCUGUAAUAAAUCUCAGCUCUGGAGUCUGUCGAUACCAGAAGGCCAACCUGCCUCCUUAGAAAAUAAAGGUUUAUACAUUAAGCUUAA